rnacentral:rRNA from 1 species
UACAGAGGUCCCGAGCGUUGUUCGGAUUUAUUGGGCGUAAAGGGUGCGUAGGCGGCGGAGUAAGUUGGGUGUGAAAGUCAGGGGCUCAACCCUUGAAAGCCGGCCGAUACUGUCGGACUAGAGUCCGGAAGAGGCAAGUGGAAUUCCCGGUGUAGCGGUGAAAUGCGCAGAUAUCGGGAGGAACACCAAUGGCGAAGGCAGCUUGCUGGGACGGUACUGACGCUGAGGCGCGAAAGCGUGGGGAGCAAACAGG